CUUCAGCCGGACUUGUCAUACGAGGAACAACCAGUGCAGAUACUUGAUAGAAGAGAAAAAGUCUUGAGAAGCAAGACAGUGGCACUGUUGAAAGUACUGUGGAGGAACAGUAAAGUAGAAGAGGCAACCUGGGAACUCGAGACGGAUAUGCAGCAGAAAUAUCCGGAGUUGUUCAGGUAAAUUUCGGGACGAAAUUUCUAUAAGGAGGGGGUAAUUGUAAUACCCGGAAUUAAGAAAUGGAUUAGCAAAACCCUAACUAGAUAAUUAUGUAUAAUGGAGGAAUUAUAUUAUUAUAUAAUUCAAUAUAUGUGAUUUAUAUGAAUUUUAAUAUAUUAAAGACCCCGUUGGUGAGCCAGGGGCAUUUUGGUAAUUAUGACCCGAGAAGGGUAAAUUGUUGAGAUUAAAUUAAUUACGUGCUUAAUAGAACUAUAUUAUUAUAUAGUAUACCUGUGUUGUCUUUUCAGGUGUGUUCUGACAGGUUGGCGCGGUAUAGUCACAACCGGGUAUUUCGGGCCGAACUGGGUUCGGGCCCGAAAUGUAAAUUGGAUUAAUUUAUUUGGCAUUAUAAUUUAUGGGUGAUAAUCUGAAUUUUUAUUUGAAAAUUAUUGAGUAUGAAUUUACUAGAAUACCCUUGUGUAUGUGUGUGCAUGCUUUAUAGCCCUAAGGGCAAAAUGGUCAUUUUGACCUUUAUGAUAUUUUUGAUAAAAGGGUUGAAUUUUAAAGAAAAGAAAAAGGAAAUUGAAUAUUGUUUGCUUCACUCUUUGCUUCAGCCGACCCCUUUUUCUCUCUAUCCCUAAAUCUAUUUUUUUUUCCAAACUUUGAUUUUCUUGUGGGAAAUUAGCUUUAUUUGGUGCUACCUUUGGAGCUUGAUACUUUGAAGAUUGUUGAGCUUAGCUUGGAUUUGAAUUGAGGAAAGGGUAAGGCAUUAGCUGAUCAGCCAUGAGUUUCAGGAGCAGGGCGAAGAAUGUACAUGUUCAUGCCACUUCAGACCAAGCGGGUUAUGGGUCUAACAGUGUUGACUUUUGUAUUCUGUUUUGCCGCUUAGGUCGGCUAGUAAGAAAGAACUUGUAAUAAGUUUGUAAAUAUUUUUGGGAUCCCAAAUAUUUUGAAAAGUUUAAAUAUAUUACAAGUUUAUUUACA